CGAACUUUCUUACCUGGCUCAGGACGAACGCUGGCGGCGUGCCUAAUACAUGCAAGUUGAGCGCUGAAGGUUGGUACUUGUACCAACUGGAUGAGCAGCGAACGGGUGAGUAACGCGUGGGGAAUCUGCCUUUGAGCGGGGGACAACAUUUGGAAACGAAUGCUAAUACCGCAUAAAAACUUUAAACACAAGUUUUAAGUUUGAAAGAUGCAAUUGCAUCACUCAAAGAUGAUCCCGCGUUGUAUUAGCUAGUUGGUGAGGUAAAGGCUCACCAAGGCGAUGAUACAUAGCCGACCUGAGAGGGUGAUCGGCCACAUUGGGACUGAGACACGGCCCAAACUCCUACGGGAGGCAGCAGUAGGGAAUCUUCGGCAAUGGACGAAAGUCUGACCGAGCAACGCCGCGUGAGUGAAGAAGGUUUUCGGAUCGUAAAACUCUGUUGGUAGAGAAGAACGUUGGUGAGAGUGGAAAGCUCAUCAAGUGACGGUAACUACCCAGAAAGGGACGGCUAACUACGUGCCAGCAGCCGCGGUAAUACGUAGGUCCCGAGCGUUGUCCGGAUUUAUUGGGCGUAAAGCGAGCGCAGGUGGUUUAUUAAGUCUGGUGUAAAAGGCAGUGGCUCAACCAUUGUAUGCAUUGGAAACUGGUAGACUUGAGUGCAGGAGAGGAGAGUGGAAUUCCAUGUGUAGCGGUGAAAUGCGUAGAUAUAUGGAGGAACACCGGUGGCGAAAGCGGCUCUCUGGCCUGUAACUGACACUGAGGCUCGAAAGC
rnacentral:rRNA from 1 species